AUUAUCUCCCCUCCCCCCAAAAAAAGGGAAAAAGAAAGCAUAAGAAGUACUAUAGAAGUGCAGAGGUGGAGAAAUGUGCUCCCCGGAUACAGAGGGAAGCCUAGAGGAAGACACUCACAAAGUAAUUAUUGAGCCAAGCCUUAAAGGAUGAGAGGAAUUUUUCCCAGCAGAGAGAAUUUUAUCACUUCAUGAUGAAGUCUGGGAGUAAAUACUGGAACUUAUUCUUUCCCAUUUCCAUUUUUUUCUUGUGCCAUUCAUUACAGUUUUCCACUCUUGAGUCCCCGAUGUAUGAGUUCCAUUUAUGAACUUCAUCUACAAGCAGGAUAACAUGGGUACAUGAAAUCCAACAAUAUCGCUCUCAGUCACACCCAACAGAAGCAUUUCUAUUAGAACUUGCAGCUGACAAACUUGUAGGGUGUAGAAAGAGUCCUGUGGUUGGAACUGCUUCUUCCUCCCUCUGUGACUUUGAGCAGGAUGAAACUUCUCUGAGUCUUGGCUUCCCCUUCUAUACAUUGUACAUGGAAAAAUUUCAUCUCUCCUCUCUUGCAGAGCUCCUAUGGAAGCUUAAAGGAAAGCAUAUGAAAAUCCAUUUUAAUCUAUGACAUGUUCUUCAAAUAUGGGUAUGAUCCUGAAGAGUAUCCAGCAUAGAAAUGGACACACAGAAGGCUCCUUUGAAUAAGAAGACCAAGUCUUUCCCUUCUUUACCACACCAUCAUUGUUUUCCAAGUGACACUCAGGCUCAAAUAAGACUUAGAAGACUUUUGGAUCAAAGGAAAGUGGUAAGUGAAGACUUCAAAUUUAGCAGUGAGUACAUUAUCCAUAAUUUCUGUUUAGGCAUGAUGGCUAUGUAAAAACAAUAGCCACCUAUGUAAAAACAAAAGAAGAAAAAGAAUUGAAUUGGCAGGGAGUUUAUAGCAAAGAUAGAACUUGGGCUUCUCUUAGCCUAAUGCCAUUUUCAAUAUACCAGUGACUGAACCAAGUCUGCUCCCAUGUUAAUGUGUUAGGAGUGGAGAUACUGGGAUGCUAAUCAAUUUAUUUUUUUUUAAGAUUUUAUUUAUUUAUUCGUGAGAGACACACAGAAAGAGGCAGAGACAUAGGCAGAGGGAGAAGCAGGCUCCCUGUGGGGAGCCAGAUGCAGGACUCAAUCCCAGGACCCCAGGGUCAUGCCCUGAGCUGAAGGUAGACAUUCAACCACUGAGCCACCCAGGUGCCCCAAUAGUAAUCAAUUUCUAACAGAAAAGUCACACAAGGCUGGGCUGUAAUCCAAGUCACCCAUAAAUAUCUUUUUUUUUUUAAUUUAAAUUGAAGUUGCCAACAUAUGGUAUAACACCCAGUGUUCACCUCAUCAUAUGCCCUCCUUAAUGCCCAUUGCCCAGUUACCCCAUUCCUCCACUCACCUCCCCUUCUGCAAUUUUCUGUUUGUAUCCCAGAGUUAGGAGUCUCUCAUGGUUUAUUUUCUCUAAUUUCUUAAGAAAAACUACUGAAGUUCCAGUCUUUGGUUUGCUUUCUGCCACCAGGAGGCCUUUGGUAUAAAGAAAUAAACAUAUAACAUUCAGGGAAAUCACAUUCUAACAUAAGCACUACCAUUAAUUCAAGAUCUACUCCUCACUAAAAUGAAGUUAAUUGGUUCAUUUCACCUCAGACAAGUGGUCGGGCGACAGAGAACAACCUUCUUAGGCAAAGGCCUGUCCAUGGUUAAUGUGCCAUGGGUUAAUGUGCCAUGAUGGAACUGAUAUCUGG
rnacentral:lncRNA from 1 species